rnacentral:rRNA from 1 species
UGGGGAAUAUUGCACAAUGGGCGGAAGCCUGAUGCAGCGACGCCGCGUGGGGGAUGAAGGCCUUCGGGUUGUAAACUCCUUUCGACAGGGACGAAGCUUUUGUGACGGUACCUGUAUAAGAAGCACCGGCUAACUACGUGCCAGCAGCCGCGGUAAUACGUAGGGUGCGAGCGUUGUCCGGAAUUACUGGGCGUAAAGAGCUCGUAGGUGGUUUGUCGCGUCGUCUGUGAAAUUCCGGGGCUUAACUCCGGGCGUGCAGGCGAUACGGGCUGACUUGAUUGCUGUAGGGGAGACUGGAAUUCCUGGUGUAGCGGUGAAAUGCGCAGAUAUCAGGAGUAACACCGAUGGCGAAGGCAGGUCUCUGGGCAGUAACUGACGCUGAGGAGCGAAAGCAUGGGUAGCGAACAGG